rnacentral:rRNA from 1 species
AACGCGAAGAACCUUACCUGGGUUUGACAUCCUCUGACAUCCGUAGAGAUACGGCUUCUGUAGCAAUACAGCAGAGAGACAGGUGCUGCAUGGCUGUCGUCAGCUCGUGUGGUGACAUGUUGGGUUAAGUCCCGCAACGAGCGCAACCCUUGUCCUUAGUUGCCAGCAUUAAGUUGGGCUCUCUAAGGAGACUGCCGUGGUUAACACGGAGGAAGGUGGGGAUGACGUCAAGUCCUCAUGGCCUUUAUAUCCAGGGCGACACACGUGAUACAAUGGACGGUACAGAGGGAAGCGAAACCGCGAGGUGGAGCCAAUCUCAAAAAGCCGUUCUCAGUUCGGAUUGGAGUCUGCAAUUCGACUCCAUGAAGUUGGAAUCGCUAGUAAUCGCGGAUCAGCACGCCGCGGUGAAUACGUUCCCGGGCCUUGUACACACCGUGUCGA